rnacentral:rRNA from 1 species
GUCGCUGGGGGGUUUCCCUGUGCACGUCAUUCUUCUUUGUUUGACCUGCUCCUCUCUUUCCUUCACACACACACCUUGUGCACCUGUUGUAGGUCCUUGAUAAGAGGACCUAUGUUUUCUCACAUCACACCUUAUCGUAUGUCCAUAGAAUGUAUGGAAAAAUGAUAUACAACUUUCAGCAACGGAUCUCUUGGCUCUCGCAUCGAUGAAGAACGCAGCGAAUUGCGAUAAGUAAUGUGAAUUGCAGAUUUUCAGUGAAUCAUCGAAUCUUUGAACGCAUCUUGCGCUCCUUGGUAUUCCGAGGAGCAUGCCUGUUUGAGUGUCAUUGAAUUCUCAACCAUGUCUUGAUUGAUUUCAAGACCAUGGCUUGGAGGUUGGGGGUUGCUGGCGGCGAUCUGGCUGUUGGCUCUCCUGAAAUGCAUUAGCAAAAGGGCGCGAAUGUCUUUCGGCGUACACGGCCUUCGACGUGAUAAUGAUCGUCGUGGCUGGAGCGUCUGGAUGUUGAUGGGGGGGAGAAAUCAAUCACCCUCUUCCCUUGUGCUUCUAAUCCGUAUGCUAGUCAGUUUCUGGCUAGCUUUCUUGCGACUUGACCUCAAAU